rnacentral:rRNA from 1 species
ACUGAACGCUGGCGGCAGGCCUAACACAUGCAAGUCGAACGAGUGGCGGACGGGUGAGUAAUGUCUGGGAAACUGCCUGAUGGAGGGGGAUAACCACUGGAAACGGUAGCUAAUACCGCAUAUCAUCGGAUGGGCCCAGAUGGGAUUAGGUAGUAGGUGGGGUAACGGCUCACCUAGGCGACGAUCCCUAGCUGGUCUGAGAGGAUGACCAGCCACACUGGAACUGAGCCGCGGUCCAGACUCCUACGGGAGUCAGCAGUGGGGAAUAUGGCACAUGGGGCGCAAGCCUGAUGCAGCCAUGCCGCGUGUAGGAAGAAGGCCUUCUGGUUGUAGAGUACUUUCAGCGGGGAGGCGUUACCCGCAGAAGAAGCACCGGCUAACUCCGUGCCAGCAGCCGCGGUAAUAC